rnacentral:rRNA from 1 species
AAAUUGAAGAGUUUGAUCAUGGCUCAGAUUGAACGCUGGCGGCAGGCCUAACACAUGCAAGUCGAACGGUAACAGGAAACAGCUUGCUGUUUCGCUGACGAGUGGCGGACGGGUGAGUAAUGUCUGGGAAACUGCCUGAUGGAGGGGGAUAACUACUGGAAACGGUAGCUAAUACCGCAUAACGUCGCAAGACCAAAGAGGGGGACCUUCGGGCCUCUUGCCAUCGGAUGUGCCCAGAUGGGAUUAGCUAGUAGGUGGGGUAACGGCUCACCUAGGCGACGAUCCCUAGCUGGUCUGAGAGGAUGACCAGCCACACUGGAACUGAGACACGGUCCAGACUCCUACGGGAGGCAGCAGUGGGGAAUAUUGCACAAUGGGCGCAAGCCUGAUGCAGCCAUGCCGCGUGUAUGAAGAAGGCCUUCGGGUUGUAAAGUACUUUCAGCGGGGAGGAAGGGAGUAAAGUUAAUAUCUUUGCUCAUUGACGUUACCCGCAGAAGAAGCACCGGCUAACUCCGUGCCAGCAGCCGCGGUAAUACGGAGGGUGCAAGCGUUAAUCGGAAUUACUGGGCGUAAAGCGCACGCAGGCGGUUUGUUAAGUCAGAUGUGAAAUCCCCGGGCUCAACCUGGGAACUGCAUCUGAUACUGGCAAGCUUGAGUCUCGUAGAGGGGGGUAGAAUUCCAGGUGUAGCGGUGAAAUGCGUAGAGAUCUGGAGGAAUACCGGUGGCGAAGGCGGCCCCCUGGACGAAGACUGACGCUCAGGUGCGAAAGCGUGGGGAGCAAACAGGAUUAGAUACCCUGGUAGUCCACGCCGUAAACGAUGUCGACUUGGAGGUUGUGCCCUUGAGGCGUGGCUUCCGGAGCUAACGCGUUAAGUCGACCGCCUGGGGAGUACGGCCGCAAGGUUAAAACUCAAAUGAAUUGACGGGGGCCCGCACAAGCGGUGGAGCAUGUGGUUUAAUUCGAUGCAACGCGAAGAACCUUACCUGGUCUUGACAUCCACGGAAGUUUUCAGAGAUGAGAAUGUGCCUUCGGGAACCGUGAGACAGGUGCUGCAUGGCUGUCGUCAGCUCGUGUUGUGAAAUGUUGGGUUAAGUCCCGCAACGAGCGCAACCCUUAUCCUUUGUUGCCAGCGGUCCGGCCGGGAACUCAAAGGAGACUGCCAGUGAUAAACUGGAGGAAGGUGGGGAUGACGUCAAGUCAUCAUGGCCCUUACGACCAGGGCUACACACGUGCUACAAUGGCGCAUACAAAGAGAAGCGACCUCGCGAGAGCAAGCGGACCUCAUAAAGUGCGUCGUAGUCCGGAUUGGAGUCUGCAACUCGACUCCAUGAAGUCGGAAUCGCUAGUAAUCGUGGAUCAGAAUGCCACGGUGAAUACGUUCCCGGGCCUUGUACACACCGCCCGUCACACCAUGGGAGUGGGUUGCAAAAGAAGUAGGUAGCUUAACCUUCGGGAGGGCGCUUACCACUUUGUGAUUCAUGACUGGGGUGAAGUCGUAACAAGGUAACCGUAGGGGAACCUGCGGUUGGAUCACCUCCUUACCUUAAAGAAGC